rfam:Triticum aestivum genome assembly, contig: Triticum_aestivum_CS42_TGACv1_scaffold_576894_7BL
AAAGUACUCCCUCCGUCCCAAAAUUCUUGUCUUAGAUUUGUCUAGAUACGGAUGUAUCAAGUCGAUACAUCGGUAUCUAGAGAAAUCUAAGACAAGAAAUAUGGGACAGAGGGAGUAGUUG